CCUACGGGAGGCAGCAGUGAGGAAUAUUGGUCAAUGGACGAGAGUCUGAACCAGCCAAGUAGCGUGAAGGAUGACUGCCCUAUGGGUUGUAAACUUCUUUUAUAUGGGAAUAAAAUGUUCCACGUGUGGGAUUUUGUAUGUACCAUAUGAAUAAGGAUCGGCUAACUCCGUGCCAGCAGCCGCGGUAAUACGGAGGAUCCGAGCGUUAUCCGGAUUUAUUGGGUUUAAAGGGAGCGUAGGUGGAUUGUUAAGUCAGUUGUGAAAGUUUGCGGCUCAACUGUAAAAUUGCAGUUGAAACUGGCAGUCUUGAGUACAGUAGAGGUGGGCGGAAGUCGUGGUGUAGCGGUGAAAUGCUUAGAUAUCACGAAGAACUCCGAUUGCGAAGGCAGUUCACUGGACUGCAACUGACACUGAGGCUCGAAAGUGUGGGUAUCAAACAGGAUUAGAUACCCGAGUAGUC
rnacentral:rRNA from 1 species